UGGCUUCGUUCUCGACGGGUGUGCGUUUGAACAAGUUUGGUGUGAAACUCGCACAGACAGUUUUCACUACUAACCUAACACUUAUCCUCGUUUGGUGGUUAGAAGCGUGCAGGAAGAAUAGUGCAUGUUUUCACUGGUGUAUGGUGAGGAACAGCAUAGGGAAAAGUGUUUUGCCAGCAGCCAGCACCAUUUUUGAAGCAGUGAAUGGAGAUGCCUAGUGUGAGCAGCCUGCAAUCGAUAAAUAUUCACGUGAUUCCAGUGGAAACUGUGUGUCGCUUGGAGGAGGAAAAUAAAUUGCAAAGCUUGGAAAUGUAUUCUUCAGUGUAUUAAAACCGGCCCUUUGAAACAGUUAUUCAAUUCAUCCAAAUAAUCCGUUGGUGUGACUGUGUGUGCCCGGUGAAAGUAGAUUGAAUUUGUGCAACGCUUAAGCGAACGACGCGCUGCGCCAAACUGCCGGAACAUCUUUGCGCUCCACCACUUGCUUUACCAACCCCGGGGGGACACCAUUGUCCCGGUGGUGCAAUAUAUGAGUAGACCGAGCCAGCCGGUAGCUGCAAACUCCGGGCGGCCCUAGUGCAUUCGCUGUUCAGCUAUGGAUGAAUGCCAGCAUGAGCUCGACUUUGAAGAGCUAGAAAAAUUGUGCAGAAACACACCGGAGGACGAACUGUCGGAAGCGGAAGAGGACCCAGGAACAGUGCAGGCAACGGGUGGUGAAGAGGGCGGUGGAGCAGGAAGGUUUAGAGAUAUGGGCCAAUCGGAGAGCAAGAAAGCGUCGAAGAAAGCGGCCGCCACCGACACCGGUCUGCACACCAAGGGUACGGCCAUGUCAUUUGGCUUCAAGAAGCACAAGGUGCACCAGCAGCAGACCAGCAGCAACCACGGUACGCUCGGCGCGGCCAACGGAACAGCCAACAAAUUGCUCACGGGUGUGGCACCACAUACCACCGGUACGGAUGGUGGCGGUACGGAACCGGUCCCGGGAGCGGUCGCUAAUCAGAUCAAGAAGUUCAACAAUAACAACCUUAACAACAACAACAACAACAACCACAACAGCAGCGGCAAUGCGACAUUGGAAAGGGAGAAAGCGGAAAGGGAGCUGGUGCACGCGACCGUCAUCACGAACCCGGGCGUCGAUGCGGGAUUUAGCGACAAGAACGGAAAUACCGGGUCAAUCGAAUCAGUAGACGAUGGCGGUGGCGGCGGCCGUAACACAUCCACUGGCCGUACCACACCCCGACUGCAGCCCGCCAAGAAAGACAGCCAUGGAGCGCCGUACCGUAGCAAUCGAUUCGGUUUCCGCACUAACAACAUCGUCCGGCCGGCAUCGGUCGGUCUGCAGCCCCGGGUGGCCAACGACUUGGACAAACAUUCCUCCAACACCAACAACAACAAUAUCCACACCAGUAACAACAACAAUAACAACGUGUACGUCGUUAGCGACAAACGCCGCUCGAAGAGUGCUUCAUCGGCGGCAUCCGCACGCACAACCUUUACGCCACUAUCCGGCACUGCGGCGACGACGGCUGCAACCGGAACUGCUGGUGGGAAUGCAGCGAUGGCGCUGCAUCAGCACGCGUACGGUGGUGGUGGCGCAGGUGCGCUGCAUCGCCCUAUGCCGAAAUACCAGGCGGCGUCGAAUACAAAAAUAACCCACAACAACGCACCGCCGGACAACGGUGGUGGUUUCGGGACUUAUCAACAGCAGAUGACGAAAUGCAACCUGGGGGAGCAUAAAAAUACUCAGCAUUCCGGUACGGCCCAGCAGCGGCAAUCGGCCCAGCAGCAGCAUCAGUAUACGCACGGCAGCGAAGCCGGACAGAACGGCGCGUCGUCCGUUGGUGGUGGACUAUGUGCAAAACCACCACUGGCCGGCAAUGGCAGCGCUGCCGCUACGACGACGACUACUACGACGACCAAACUAGGUCAGGAGGCGGCAACUACGGCCAACAAGUUUACGCUCCAUUCAUCCAGCCUCCCGAAACCCCAGUAUCCGGUGUCGAUCUCGCUAACGUCCGGCACAACCUCCGGACCGUCGGCGGCCAGCUCACGCUACACGAUGGACACGAAGGGUGCCAAGCACGCGGUCAACGUCAGUCGCAAAGAGUUCGCCAACACGAACGUGACCGGAGCACCGGCCCUCGAAGACACGACCACAACCACCACCAGCAGCAUCCGUAUGCCGCGGCAACGCUAUCGCAACUUGGAGAUGGUAAUGAGCGGCCGGCACAAGUUCGAAGUGCGCGAUCUGGAAGCGCUCACGACGGAACCGAUCGUACCGCUUCCACUGCCCGAACUGCCGAGCGCAUUCUGCAGCACAACCAACCAGCGAACGGCACCGCUAAGUGGACUGAUUCGAUCGACGGAGCUGAAUGCGAGCGCUAACGCAUCCUCGCUGCACGACGAUAUCGACAUCAAUGACAAUCGGUACGAGAUUGCGGAACCGGGUGCAGAGGAGGAUGAGGCCGAAACGACGCCCACCAGCCACGAUGGCGGCGAAGGCCAGAAGGAAAGUUUGGAGGAGGAAAAACUGUUGCGCGAUAACAAUUCGUCGGAAAAGAGUCUGAAGGGUGCGCUGAUGAAGGACCUGGUCGAGAGCUACGAGGAAAGCAAGAGCUCGACGCCCAGCUGUUCGCGGGCGUCUUGGUUCACGGCUGGCGAGGCACUUGCGGCCAAAGACUUUGGUAUUCGCAGCUUGAGUACGAGCGUGGAGAGCAGCAGCACAUCGAAGCAGGCGGAUUCGAUUCCGAAGCAAGCGGCGGCACAGGAGGAACCUGACGAAGAAGACAUUAGCUCCGUUACUAUUACCGCGGGCAAUCCUUCUGCGUUCUCUUCCAUAUCGGCACCAGUUCCGAUGGACGUUUCGACCAAUCUCGAUAGCGUCUCGGAGGUACAGAUCAGCUUCACCGAUCCAGGAACCGAUCCGCUCGCUAGCAGCGAAACCGACGUACCGAACCGGAUGUACCGCAACGAGCAGACUAAGUUUGCCGAAAUGGCCGCUGCCAUUAGCGAUGUGCUGCUGCUGGACGACGAAACAUCUCCGACCGAUAGUCUCGUCAGCAGCUGUACGGAAAAUUCGGAUGAUGCGAAGAAACCACGGCACGGUGCAAAGAAAGCGGUUGAAAAUAGCAAGGACAAGGAAAAGGACAUUGAUGAAAUUUCGCCCGAGCUGGACGAACUUACCAGUCCCGUAUCGCCCGGCACCCCGACGCAUGCUUCCAACUCCCUGUCGCUGUCGGACGGUGGUAGGGAUUUUCUUAUUGACGAUGAAAUUGCCGAUCAGCCGGGACUGGUGUUCGAUGAAGGCAGUACACUCGAUCUCGGUUCGCUCAACCUUAAUCUGACAUCGCAAAAGACGGAGAACACGACCACGCUGAAGGACAACCAAAGUCGAGCUGGUGCCGUUGGGGUUACUACUGCACCUGGAGCUGCUCAACCGACAGCAAUCAAAGCGACUCCACCAUCUGUCGUUAAACCACGCAAAGUUAUGGCAGAUACGUACGAAUCACCAGCCCUAUCGCGAAAGUCUACUCGGAGUGGUAAUCGCAUGGCAAGAGCUGAAUCGCUGGAUACACUAUCGCCGUGCGAUUCGAUCGCAUCGGAUGAUUUUAUGCUGGACUUUGACUGCAACAGUAGCAUGGAUUCGAUCGAUCGGGUUGCUCGUUCCAGUAUGGGUGGUAGUGCUACGGGGCUGAACUCGAUGGAUGAACUACAGCUGUGGUCCGAGCUGGAGAACAAAGGAGGCCACAUCAUACGCGAGUGGAGCACACUGCUGCGCAGCAGCCCACAGAACAUCAGCAACAGUGCUAACCGAUCCCAGCUACCAGCAAGGGCACGCCUACUCACCCGAAGGCUCCAGAACAAUGCAACACCUACGAAUGGGUCGGAAAGUCCCCGCUCGAUCGACAGUCUACCCCGGCGAACGUUUUCCGGCUCGUACAAAACGGCCACCCUUAGCCAGUUCCACAAUCUCGCCAACAACAACAACUUUACGGAUUCGGCCUCGACGGCUACCAACUCCGCGGAAGAUCUCACCCUGCUCGACAAGUCGCUGCGCAACUCCAUGCUACAGGACGUGGUGCACUUCAAGAAGCAGCUGGUACGACUUCGUCGGAUACUGCAAGAGGAUGAAGAAAAUUUGAUGAUGACCGACACUCUCAACCCAUUUGAAAAUAACAAUGGGCAAUUCUUCACGACGGCAGCCGCAAUCGCAACCGCCAACGGUAGCAUCGGGUCCGGGGCGACAACCACCACGACGACGACGGCAACGGCAGGCCAGCAGGAACAGCAGCAGCUACAGGAAAACGUACUCAUCCGUGAGUCCAGCGUGGCGGCCCUUGCCCUACUCGAGGACCAGCGGCAGGAGCUGGCGGAUCUCAGAAGACAGGUGGUUUACCUUCAGGGUGAACUAACGGCCAAAGAUCGCACGAUUCGGCAGCAGCAGAAUCUGAUCGAAAAGUAUGAAGCGGAGCGAGAGAAGCAACAGCACAGCCUCUCGAACGGUAGCUCAUCGUUGGACAGUAAUGGAGACACAGCCGCAGGUGACACUUCCGCCAGUAACCAUCCGUCGGCGGACACCAUCAGCACCGCAACACAGACCGAACGUUUGAGGCCCGUUUCGUUCGGUGGACAGGAAGGAUUAGGCAGGGUUUGCUUGCGACACCUGCCCACAAGGCCACUGUACGUGGCGGACUAUUUUCCACUGUGCCAUAGUUCGAUCGGAUUCGAGGUGGCACUCGCUUCACGGUGCUCUCGUUACUGUUGGGCUGGUGUUUCUAGUGUCUCAUUGCUUGCCAUCCGUUUACUGUCCAUUAUCCGUGAUUUGGCUAACCGCUUGCUGAACCGUUUAAGCCCUGCCGUCUCUCGGGCAGGUGAUGCGCUUCUACUGUCCUUGUGGCGAUGCAGUUAUCCAUUUGUUUUUGUGCGCAAUUUGAUACGAAAACUUUGCUCGCUUCUUCACUGCUUUUUCGCACUGUUUUCCACCUCCAGACGCGAGAGUUCUUAGUGGCCAUCCUUCAUUUUGUUCUAAAAUUGUUUAUUUCGAUCUUCGUUUACUUAACCUCCCGAUAUCACAGAACGCUCACAAGAAAUUCUCUUCUGUCUGUUCUUUCUUUCUAAUACAUGCGCUCUCUCGAAUACACAAUGUUGUUGAUUUGAAAAAAAAAACCGAAACAAAACCACCACCUGAUCAACUAAAUUCGGGAAACAUCUUCACCGGAUCGACUCGACCGUAUAACUCAUAUAACACGCGUUGUACUAACACCACGAUCAACACCUACUACUAACCUACACGUCCAUCUCAUCUGUAAAACUCAUCAUCUUCAUUGUGUGUACAAUCUCCGCCAAAACUACUCCUACCUCGCCUUAACCCCGCUCCCUACCGUCCCCGCUGUGGAAUCCUUUCCCUGCUUGGCUCCCCAACCUCGGCUUCUCAACCGGACCGAUACCGGUCACCUCCGAUAGGCUGCAACUGGGACAGUCGCAGUGAGAAGCCUAAAAAUGGUCUUCGGACACCAACGGCAGUUGGGCUUCCGAUCAACAGCAGCAGCAGCAGUACAACCCCAUCACCACACCAUAAUACCAGCAAUGGGCCAACCACCCCGAAAAGUAAAACCCAAAUCUCCUCCGUCUACACACAGCUGUCCUCGGUAAGGCACAGCAUUGCCGGCACCAGCGCCCCAACAACACCGACCACAGCUUCCCACAAUGGAGCGGUUCCGGUCGCACUGAGGCGUACAUCGCUCGGUUCCAGCCACAACCUAAGCUCGUUCGGAUUGCACACCAACAGCGAUCGAUCUCCUAGUAGUAAUGGUGCGGGCAGCAACAAACCCGUCCGGACGACACACAUCGGUACGCUGACCACCUCACCAACAGCCCGUCAGCAGCUAGCGAACGGUGAACGUAUAUCGGCACCGAAGCAAACGAAAACCAUCCCGCAUCGAACAGCAACGUCCGCGGUCAACGGGACCGGUAGUCACCCAAUUUCGAAGCUAAACGGGCUGAAUGGGACGACUAAACGGACUACGACAGGCAUCAUUAGGCCACCGUCAUCGUUUGGCAGUAGUAACAGCCUGGUGCCGGUGGAUCAGCAACAGCUCAAGAGCAAGUCGGCCCCAGUUACACCGUUGGUCGCAAUGAGCGGGAAGCUACUAACACCGGCCGCUACCGGUGCUUCGGAUGAACCAACGAAUGGGCAUCGGCUGUCGACGGACACCGAAUCCGAAUCCGAAUCGGACAAGGAUACGGUCGUGAAUGGAGCGUUGGUGAGCGGUUUAAAGCUGAUGGCCGGCUCUUCGGGUGGAUGUAACGAUGGAAGCAAUUUGGGCAGUGCUACCAACAGCACGGUCAAUGGUAUCGUAGGACAUUGAGGAGCCGGAAGACUAUCAACCGGAUGUGUGAUAAAAAUGGGGGAGUAAGGAGCGAACGAAGCGAUUCCGUACGGAGAGAGGUAUUAGAAAAAGUUGAAAGGUAACCACCUUUGCUGCUAAAGUGAAGUAAUAUUUUAUUAUCUAGCUAUUUUCCUGGUCCGAUUUUGAUUAAGCGUGCAAUGAAUGGUAAAGAGGUUUUAACCCAGAGGCUCAUCAUCCAUCCUUUUCUAGUUGAGGGGAUUUUUUUUGAUUUUUUUUUUCUUUCUUCCGGUAAGCCUUCCUUGGUCAUUACGUUUCGGUUAAAGAUAAGAAAAAAAACGGGUGAAUAUAUUGUCCCAUUUUGCCAAAACCUGAAAAGCUUUUCCCAUAGUGCGCACGAAAAUGCGCCUUUUAGUACUAAUUUUCAAAAUUCCUUCUGUCUCUUCCUUCUUUAUUGAUCAAUCCUUUUCCCUCGCAAAAAAAAACAACAACUGUUGAUAUGAAUAUAAAUUUAAUAAAAGGAAAAAGGAUUUAAACAACACACACACGCAAAUAAACUCACAAAAAGCAAGCAAAAUCAGCGGGCGCGAUAUGAAUGAAUGCAAAAUAUUAUAGCAAAUAAUUAUAGUAUGAACAAAUGUGAUCGAGAUUCGUGUAAUGUAAUAUUCAAAUGUAUUUGUACAACGUUAAGCUGGGACUUAAAACAGAACAAUGCAAAUCUAAUGGAGCAAAUAGCACACACCCACACACACAAGCAUUGUAUUUAUUUGGAUGCUUUAUACAGCCUAACCAAGCCCAGAGACACGUGGGACAGUAGUGAAUGGGAAAUGGAAUACAAUUUGCACAAAAACAGGCAAGAUACAACAGAAGAAGGAAAAAACUGUAAAGGCUAGUUUUGUUUGUACGGUAAACCUUAAAAUCAACCCCUUCUUCUUAUUGCUCCUGUACGCAGUCGCCAGCUUAAAUGAAGAAAACAGCCGCCAGAAACCGCCUCAAAAUGCAUGCCCAUUUUUAUCCAUUUUAAACCGCUCCCCCGGGAAACGGAUGGAGCAUAGCAAAAGCAUUAAAAGAGAAAUUGAAACAGGGAAACUAGUGUAGUAUUACAGUGCAAACUCAUUUAACCGUUCUGAUCCUCAAAAUUCGAUCGCUUCCGGGGUGCGUUACCUUUUUUUCUCUUCCUGUUUUCUUUACCGUCAAUUUAGUUUAGCAAAUGCGAACCUUUUUCGAAAUUGUAACGGCCAAGACGCUAGAUACUAGUUGGUAGAGUGGGAGAGGGAACGUUUUGUUCGAAUCAAGGGUGCUAGCCCGGUGGCCACGCGUCGUCGUAGUGUUGAUUAAGUAGAACUUUACCCGAUACGUUGAACAACCGUACGCUCUCAACCGUAAGGGGUGCGUGUUAGAUUAUUCAAUAGUAUUUUAUUAAUUGCUGCUGAUUCGGUUUUGAUGAAGGAAAGGCAAAAAAACCAUACCGCCCCCCCACGCUCGCUGCUGAAGCCUAGAUCCAUUCUGCUCGCCAGUUUGUAAUUGUAAGCAGAGAAUUCGUAUUUGAGAAACGGAAAACCGGCCCUCCCAUUUAACUUAACUAUAAACAGGCAAAUUGAUACGCAAAUAUUAUACGCUGAACCCCCCCGGGAUACAUACCCGCAAAAGGAAAAACUGGCAAACGCAAAACGCAAUCCGAUAUUCGGUACGAAUAAAGGACAAUGUAAAGCAACACACAAAUAGAAGAAAAAAAAACAGCGCAGCAUACAUACAAAAAAAAAUGCAAAGACAAAAGUAUUUCGAUAAUAAAUUAUUAAACUGUAAAGGAAUAAAAAA